rnacentral:rRNA from 1 species
UAUUUAUUUUAUUAUAUUUAUUUUUUGUUUAUUUAAUUAUUUAAUAAAAAUAAUUUUGUUGAAUUUUGUCUUAGUAUAUUUUGUAGAAUUGAUUUUUUAUAUUAUAGUUUAUUGGUAAUGUAAUUGUUUUAUGAAAUAUUAUUUUAAAUUUUUAAAAGUAGAUUUUAUUUAUUGUACCUUUUGUAUCAGGGUUUAUCAAAAUUUUAGUAUUUACUUUACUUGUCUCGAUUUGGGUUGAUUUAUAAAUAAUUUAUAGUUAAUGUAUCAUAAUUCUUAUUAAAUUAUUUAUAGAAAUGAGAUGUUAACCGUUUCCCAAGAUAUCUAGUUUCUUAAGAAAAAAUUUAAUUUUUUAAAGUUAAUUGUUUUUAUUUAAUUUUUUAAGUAUAAAUAUUAACUUAUUUAUUCUUUAAGGGAUAAGCUUUGAAGUUAAUAACCUAUAAUUUGUUUUAAUAAAAUAUAAUAGUAAGCUUUAAACCAGCUAUCUUUAAGAUUACGUUUUAGUUCAUUAUUUUUAUUUUUGAUUUUAUAACUAUUUUAGGUUUUUUAUUAAGAUUAUAAAUUUAAUUUUUAAAUUUUUGUAAUAAUGAUAGAAUUAGUAUAUUUAUUUGUAGAUAAUUUUUACCUUGUUAAUUUAUUAUAAGGAACUAGGC